rnacentral:rRNA from 1 species
AUUGAACGCUGGCGGCAGGCCUAACACAUGCAAGUCGAGCGGAUGAAGGGAGCUUGCUCCUGGAUUCAGCGGCGGACGGGUGAGUAAUGCCUAGGAAUCUGCCUGGUAGUGGGGGAUAACGUCCGUAAACGGGCGCUAAUACCGCAUACGUCCUGAGGGAGAAAGUGGGGGAUCUUCGGACCCCACGCUAUCAGAUGAGCCUAGGUCGGAUUAGCUAGUUGGUGGGGUAAAGGCCUACCAAGGCGACGAUCCGUAACUGGUCUGAGAGGAUGAUCAGUCACACUGGAACUGAGACACGGUCCAGACUCCUACGGGAGGCAGCAGUGGGGAAUAUUGGACGAUGGGCGAAAGCAUGAUCCAGCAAUGCCGCGUGUGUGAAGAAGGUCUUCGGAUUGUAAAGCACUUUAAGUUGGGAGGAAGGGCAGUAAGUUAAUACCUUGCUGUUUUGACGUUACCAACAGAAUAAGCACCGGCUAACUUCGUG